rnacentral:rRNA from 1 species
UGGGGAAUAUUGGACAAUGGGCGCAAGCCUGAUCCAGCCAUGCCGCGUGAGUGAUGAAGGCCCUAGGGUUGUAAAGCUCUUUUGUGCGGGAAGAUAAUGACGGUACCGCAAGAAUAAGCCCCGGCUAACUUCGUGCCAGCAGCCGCGGUAAUACGAAGGGGGCUAGCGUUGCUCGGAAUCACUGGGCGUAAAGGGUGCGUAGGCGGGUCUUUAAGUCAGGGGUGAAAUCCUGGAGCUCAACUCCAGAACUGCCUUUGAUACUGAGGAUCUUGAGUUCGGGAGAGGUGAGUGGAACUGCGAGUGUAGAGGUGAAAUUCGUAGAUAUUCGCAAGAACACCAGUGGCGAAGGCGGCUCACUGGCCCGAUACUGACGCUGAGGCACGAAAGCGUGGGGAGCAAACAGGAUUAGAUACCCUGGUAGUUCACGCCGUAAACGAUGAAUGCCAGCCGUUGGAGGGUUUACUCUCCAGUGGCGCAGCUAACGCUUUAAGCAUUCCGCCUGGGGAGUACGGUCGCAAGAUUA